UACGGGGGGAGCAAGCGUUGUUCGGAUUUACUGGGCGUAAAGGGCGCGUAGGCGGCCUCCGCAAGUCAGUUGUGAAAUCUCCGAGCUUAACUCGGAAAGGUCAACUGAUACUGCGGGGCCAGAGUGCGGAAGGGGCAACUGGAAUUCUUGGUGUAGCGGUGAAAUGCGUAGAUAUCGGGAGGAAUACCUAUGGCGAAAGCAGGCUACUGGACCGUCACUGACUCUGAUCUGCGAAAGCUAGGGGAGCAAACAGG
rnacentral:rRNA from 1 species